AAACAGGAUUAGAUACCCUGGUAGUCCACGCCGUAAACGAUGUCUACUUGGAGGUUGUGGCCUUGAGCCGUGGCUUUCGGAGCUAACGCGUUAAGUAGACCGCCUGGGGAGUACGGUCGCAAGAUUAAAACUCAAAUGAAUUGACGGGGGCCCGCACAAGCGGUGGAGCAUGUGGUUUAAUUCGAUGCAACGCGAAGAACCUUACCUACUCUUGACAUCCAGAGAACUUUCCAGAGAUGGAUUGGUGCCUUCGGGAACUCUGAGACAGGUGCUGCAUGGCUGUCGUCAGCUCGUGUUGUGAAAUGUUGGGUUAAGUCCCGCAACGAGCGCAACCCUUAUCCUUGUUUGCCAGCACUUCGGGUGGGAACUCCAGGGAGACUGCCGGUGAUAAACCGGAGGAAGGUGG
rnacentral:rRNA from 1 species